rnacentral:rRNA from 14 species
GCCUAUAGCCAUACCACCCUGAAUGCCCCCAAUCUCAUCUGAUCUUGGAAGCUGGAUAGUACCUGGAUGGGAGAUUUGAAUCUGAGCCAGAAGUAGGCA